rnacentral:tRNA from 1 species
GGGCGGUUAACUCAGCGGGAGAGUGCCACCUUCACACGGUGGAAGCCACAGGUUCAAAUCCUGUACCGCCCACCA